rnacentral:rRNA from 1 species
UGGGGAAUUUUGGACAAUGGGGGAAACCCUGAUCCAGCCAUCCCGCGUGUGCGAUGAAGGCCUUCGGGUUGUAAAGCACUUUUGGCAGGAAAGAAACGUCAUGGGUUAAUACCCCGUGAAACUGACGGUACCUGCAGAAUAAGCACCGGCUAACUACGUGCCAGCAGCCGCGGUAAUACGUAGGGUGCAAGCGUUAAUCGGAAUUACUGGGCGUAAAGCGUGCGCAGGCGGUUCGGAAAGAAAGAUGUGAAAUCCCAGAGCUCAACUUUGGAACUGCAUUUUUAACUACCGGGCUAGAGGGUGGCAGAGGGGGGUGGAAUUCCGCGUGUAGGAGUGAAAUGCGUAGAUAGGCGGAGGAACACCGAUGGCGAAGGCAGCCUCCUGGGAUAACACUGACGCUCAUGCACGAAAGCGUGGGGAGCAAACAGG